GACGAACGCUGGCGGCGUGCUUAACACAUGCAAGUCGAACGGAAAGGCCCUGCUUUUGUGGGGUGCUCGAGUGGCGAACGGGUGAGUAACACGUGAGUAACCUGCCCUUGACUUUGGGAUAACUUCAGGAAACUGGGGCUAAUACCGGAUAGGAGCUCCUGCUGCAUGGUGGUGGUUGGAAAGUUUCGGCGGUUGGGGAUGGACUCGCGGCUUAUCAGCUUGUUGGUGGGGUAGUGGCUUACCAAGGCUUUGACGGGUAGACGGCCUGAGAGGGUGACCGGCCACAUUGGGACUGAGAUACGGCCCAGACUCCUACGGGAGGCAGCAGUGGGGAAUAGUGCACAAUGGGCGGAAGCCUGAUGCAGCAACGCCGCGUGCGGGAUGACGGCCUUCGGGUUGUAAACCGCUUUCGCCUGUGACGAAGCGUGAGUGACGGUAAUGGGUUAAGAAGCACCGGCUAACUACGUG
rnacentral:rRNA from 1 species